CGGACGGGUGAGUAACGCGUGGAGAACCUGCCGUAUACUGGGGGAUAACACUUAGAAAUAGGUGCUAAUACCGCAUAAGCGCACAGCUUCGCAUGAAGCAGUGUGAAAAACUCCGGUGGUAUACGAUGGAUCCGCGUCUGAUUAGCUUGUUGGCGGGGUAAAGCCCACCAAGGCGACGAUCAGUAGCCGGCCUGAGAGGGUGAACGGCCACAUUGGGACUGAGACACGGCCCAAACUCCUACGGGAGGCAGCAG
rnacentral:rRNA from 1 species